rnacentral:misc_RNA from 1 species
GAUGAAAGAACGCAGCGAAAUGCGAUAAGUAGUGUGAAUUGCAGAAUUUAGUGAAUCAUCGAAUCUUUGAACGCACAUUGCGCCUUCUGGUAUUCCGGGAGGCAUGCCUGUUCGAGAGUCAUUAACAACCAUCUCGAAUCCCCCCUUUGGGUUGUGGGGAAUCGGUUCUGGUGGAGGGAGAGGGGAAUUAUUGUUCCCACUCCCCACCGAAAUUCAUUGGCCAUCAGUGUUUUUCAACCCGCAUGUAUUCAUGGUGUUGUACUGGAGGCUCCUUCCAGACCCGGAGGGUGCCGCUUUUCUUUCGCCUGUAACAAUUCGGGACCGCACAGACUCGCCUUCAAAUAGUAUCUGUUUUUACAUCAAAGUGUUGACCUCGGAUCAGGUAGGGAUACCCGCUGAACUUAAGCAUAUCAAUAAGCGGAGGA